rnacentral:rRNA from 1 species
UACGGGGGGGGCAAGCGUUGUUCGGAAUUACUGGGCGUAAAGGGCUCGUAGGCGGCCAACUAAGUCCGACGUGAAAUCCCCAGGCUUAACCUGGGAACUGCGUCGGAUACUGGAUGGCUUGAAUCCGGGAGAGGGAUGCGGAAUUCCAGGUGUAGUGGUGAAAUGCGUAGAGAUCCGGCGGAACACCGGUGGUGAAGACGGUCCCCUGGGCCGAGGCCGACGCUGAGGCGCGAGAGCGCGGGAGCGAACCGG